rnacentral:rRNA from 1 species
AUGAUGUCGGCACAUAUGAGAAAGAGCAGGGAGAAUAUGGAUGGAAAUUUGACUAGAGUACACAAACAAAGCCCUCAAGACAAGCCAGUAGUUCAUGUGUCCUCUAAGCAGAAACGUAGUCCUUCCAUGGAGGUUGGCACAAAAGUGAUUCUGAAGUCUUCAAUAUAUCCAAACAAAAGGCAUGUGGCACAUGCUAGCAUUUUGGGUUGCAAUUCAAAAACAAUGGUUGGUGGUGUUGAGCUAGGUCGGCAGUUCAUAGAAGUGCAAGUUGAUCAACCUAUUGAGGAAUGUGAGCUCUUGCAUGUAUUGAGAGGUUCAGUGGUUGAGUUGAUUCAGAUGCUUUUGCUCAUGAGGAAUCAAGAUGCAAAUAUGACAUAUUCAUUCAAGAAAGAUCUGAGGGGCACAAUCUAG